GAUGAACGCUGGCGGCGUGCCUAAUACAUGCAAGUCGAGCGAACGGACGAGAAGCUUGCUUCUCUGAUGUUAGCGGCGGACGGGUGAGUAACACGUGGAUAACCUACCUAUAAGACUGGGAUAACUUCGGGAAACCGGAGCUAAUACCGGAUAGUAUUUUGAACCGCAUGGUUCAAAAGUGAAAGACGGUCUUGCUGUCACUUAUAGAUGGAUCCGCGCUGCAUUAGCUAGUUGGUAAGGUAACGGCUUACCAAGGCAACGAUGCAUAGCCGACCUGAGAGGGUGAUCGGCCACACUGGAACUGAGACACGGUCCAGACUCCUACGGGAGGCAGCAGUAGGGAAUCUUCCGCAAUGGGCGAAAGCCUGACGGAGCAACGCCGCGUGAGUGAUGAAGGUCUUCGGAUCGUAAAACUCUGUUAUUAGGGAAGAACAUAUGUGUAAGUAACUGUGCACAUCUUGACGGUACCUAAUCAGAAAGCCACGGCUAACUACGUGCCAGCAGCCGCGGUAAUACGUAGGUGGCAAGCGUUAUCCGGAAUUAUUGGGCGUAAAGCGCGCGUAGGCGGUUUUUUAAGUCUGAUGUGAAAGCCCACGGCUCAACCGUGGAGGGUCAUUGGAAACUGGAAAACUUGAGUGCAGAAGAGGAAAGUGGAAUUCCAUGUGUAGCGGUGAAAUGCGCAGAGAUAUGGAGGAACACCAGUGGCGAAGGCGACUUUCUGGUCUGUAACUGACGCUGAUGUGCGAAAGCGUGGGGAUCAAACAGGAUUAGAUACCCUGGUAGUCCACGCCGUAAACGAUGAGUGCUAAGUGUUAGGGGGUUUCCGCCCCUUAGUGCUGCAGCUAACGCAUUAAGCACUCCGCCUGGGGAGUACGACCGCAAGGUUGAAACUCAAAGGAAUUGACGGGGACCCGCGCAAGCGGUGGAGCAUGUGGUUUAAUUCGAAGCAACGCGAAGAACCUUACCAAAUCUUGACAUCCUUUGACAACUCUAGAGAUAGAGCCUUCCCCUUCGGGGGACAAAGUGACAGGUGGUGCAUGGUUGUCGUCAGCUCGUGUCGUGAGAUGUUGGGUUAAGUCCCGCAACGAGCGCAACCCUUAAGCUUAGUUGCCAUCAUUAAGUUGGGCACUCUAAGUUGACUGCCGGUGACAAACCGGAGGAAGGUGGGGAUGACGUCAAAUCAUCAUGCCCCUUAUGAUUUGGGCUACACACGUGCUACAAUGGACAAUACAAAGGGCAGCGAAACCGCGAGGUCAAGCAAAUCCCAUAAAGUUGUUCUCAGUUCGGAUUGUAGUCUGCAACUCGACUACAUGAAGCUGGAAUCGCUAGUAAUCGUAGAUCAGCAUGCUACGGUGAAUACGUUCCCGGGUCU
rnacentral:rRNA from 1 species